ensembl:snRNA U6 U6 spliceosomal RNA
GUUUGCUUUAGCAGUACAUAAACUAAACUAAAAAUUGGAACAAUACAGAGAAUAUUGCAUGGCCCCUGAACAAAGGUAACACACAAAUUCGUGAAGCAGCCCAUGUUUUU